GCAGCGCUAUAAACCCUGUAGUCUCUCUUUUACACUUGUAUUUUAGGGUAAAGAUGAAGUGGGCGCCUCGUCGAUCCAGCGAUCAGCUCCAGCAGCAGCAGCCGGGGUGCAAAUGGGGCCACACCUGCAAUGCGGUCAGGAAUCUCAUCUACAUUUUCAGUGGCUAUGGCCGGGACGAGUGCCAGACCAACGAUGUUCACGUCUUCGACAUUGGGAUGUAAACCUGGAGCAAGCCUGUGAUGAAAGGAAUGCACCCUUCUCCUUGGGACAGCCACAGCUCCAUGGCCGUCGGGUCUAAGCUCUAUGUGUUUGGUGGUACCGAUGGAACCAGCCCGCUCGACGAUCUCUUUGUUUUGGAUACUGCUACCAACACCUGGGGGAAACCCGACGUUUUUGGUGAUGUUCCUGCUCUGAGAGAAGGACAUAGCACGUCUCUCAUUGGUGACAACCUGUUCGUGUUUGGGAGAUGAGGGAAAUCCAGUGAUCCCUCAGAGGAGGAGUACUACAACGACCUCCAUGUUUUGAACACGAAUACUUUUGUCUGGAAGAAGAUUUCUACCACUGGAGUCUUGCCUAUUCCUCGGGAUAGCCAUACCUGCUCUUCCUAUAAGAACUGUUUCGUUGUCAUGGGUGGCAAGGACGGUGGUAAUGCCUAUCUAAACGACGUUCAUAUUCUGGACACAGGUAUAUACAUUGUGCUGGCAUCAGCUCGGCACCAGUCGUCUUUACCUCCCGCCAUGCCAUUGUUUCUGGAAACGCAAAUGAAUUCACAAGUUUAGCCAAGAGCCAGGCACACAACAAUCAGCCAUGGAAAGUAUCUCGUCGUGUUUGGAGGAUUCUCCGAUGAUCGCAAGCUAUUCAAUGACGUCCAUACUCUUGACUUAACGACUGGUGUUUGGGCGACUUCGAAUCCCUCUGGUCCUGGGCCUUCUCCACGUUUCUCCCUUGCAGGAGAUUCUGUGAACGCAGAGCGAGGCAUAUUAUUCUUCUAUGGGGGAUGUAACGAAGAGCUUGAAGCUCUGGAUGAUAUGUAUUUUCUCAGCACAGAGAUGCUGAGGGAGAAAGAUCCAUCAGAACCAAAGCUAUCCAUGCAUAAGGAACUUAAGAGAAGGUGGCAAGAGUAUCAUGCCAUGCCAUUCAUGCUAGACAAGCAACAGGAUGUGGACAAGAGCUUGGUUUCGUCUCACGGAGGUUUCUGCGGAAAACCUUGGACCUCUCCAAUUCUUACCUGUCAAACUCAUGCUACAGAGUUUCAAGCUCAUGUUCAGCC